GCUUUUUACAAAAGUAUUUAGUUAAAAAAAUUGGAACAAUACAGAGAUUAGCAUGGUCCCUGCACAAGGAUGUCAUGCAAAUUCAUGAAGCAUUCUGUAGGAGA